rnacentral:rRNA from 1 species
UGGGAAUUUUGGACAAUGGGCGCAAGCCUGAUCCAGCCAUGCCGCGUGCGGGAAGAAGGCCUUCGGGUUGUAAACCGCUUUUGUCAGGGAAGAAAUCUUCUGAGUUAAUACCUCGGGAGGAUGACGGUACCUGAAGAAUAAGCACCGGCUAACUACGUGCCAGCAGCCGCGGUAAUACGUAGGGUGCAAGCGUUAAUCGGAAUUACUGGGCGUAAAGCGUGCGCAGGCGGUUUUGUAAGACAGAGGUGAAAUCCCCGGGCUCAACCUGGGAACUGCCUUUGUGACUGCAAGGCUUGAGUGCGGCAGAGGGGGAUGGAAUUCCGCGUGUAGCAGUGAAAUGCGUAGAUAUGCGGAGGAACACCGAUGGCGAAGGCAAUCCCCUGGGCCUGCACUGACGCUCAUGCACGAAAGCGUGGGGAGCAAACAGGAUUAGAUACCCUGGUAGUCCACGCCCUAAACGAUGUCAACUGGUUGUUGGGAAGGUUCCUUCUCAGUAACGUAGCUAACGCGUGAAGUUGACCGCCUGGGGAGUACGGCCGCAAGGUUG